UCACGUCUUUCGUCCCCAUUGGGUAAAAUAUUCUUUCAGUGUUUCGUUGGUGGUCUGCAAAUGCAGCCUCAACCGUGGUAGUUUACCUACCUAAAUAUGGUCGAUUUCUUGCAUGAUUGUGCCUGCCCCUGCCUCUCCCUCGCCGUUUUCGCGGCAGAAGUCCUGAAAACACUUACUCAUGCACGUAAGCUGUAAUAUGAAAAGGUAUACGCUACAGUAUAAUAUAAUAAUAGUAUAAUAAUAUUUAAUAUAUGUAAAAUUACAUGAUAAUAUCUAUCGUGUAAUAGGGUAUAUGGUAUAAAAUUGAAUGGCUGAGUAGCUUCUGUCCUCUCGUAAAAACAACUUCUUGGAUUUUUAGUGUAAAA